GGGGAUCUUUCGAGGUAGAGUGGGUGGGGGGGAGCGGUGGUUGAGUCAUGUUUAUUAUGCACAGAACUUAGGAUGCAAGCACAUACCACGCAGCUGAGGAGGUGAUUUGUCGCAGAGCCAGCGGAGAGAGCUCCGGACUGCGGGAAAGCAUUCAGAGCCUUCCCGCCUCCGACGGGUGCUGGAGGCGUGCAGGCACCAAGCCCCCACUCCGCCUCGCUUACCUCCCCGCUCUCCCCUCCCUGGACUCUCCGCCUGGCGCCCUCCACUGCUUGGCGCCCUGGCUUGCCGCGCCACUACACCCAAUGAACAUAAAAAACUGCUUUCUUGAGAGUUGGAUCAACCAUUGGUCUCGUCCGCUCAAUCUACGGGAGCCUAUCUUUGCAUGCAGGGGAAGUCCCUAACUCACCAAGGGUUUGAGUUCCGUUGGGUACCCUUCACCUGAUUUAGGUGCCAGUUGAAGCCAUUUCCCAGAGAGUGGAUGCUGUUGCAUACUGGGCAGCUUCUAGGAGCCGCAGGUGAGAACUGAAUGUGGACCAAAAGUGGACAAACCACUCCAGAAGGAGCCCGACGUGUCCCCCACCAGAGGCUAAACAUAAGGCAUCGUUUCCAGGCCUUUGACCAUUUUCAUUGCCCUCCUCUGGACACGUUCCAGCUUGUCAGUAUCCUUCUUGAACUGUGGUGC